rnacentral:rRNA from 1 species
UACGUAGGCAGCAAGCGUUGUUCGGAGUUACUGGGCGUAAAGGGUGUGUAGGCGGUUGUUUAAGUUUGGUGUGAAAUCUCCCGGCUCAACUGGGAGGGUGCGCCGAAUACUGAAUGACUUCGAGUGCGGGAGAGGAGAGUGGAAUUCCUGGUGUAGCGGUGAAAUGCGUAGAUAUCAGGAGGAACACCGGCGGUGUAGACGGCUCUCUGGACCGUAACUGACGCUGAGACACGAAAGCGUGGGUAGCAAACAGG